rnacentral:rRNA from 1 species
GAGUAACACGUGAGUAACCUGCCUUUUACACAGGGAUAGCCUCGGGAAACCGGGAUUAAAACCUGAUGAAACUAUCAAAUCACAUGAUUAAGAAAGUUAAAACUCCGGUGGUAAAAGAUGGACUCGCGUCCCAUUAGCUAGUUGGUGAAGGUAACGGCCCACCAAGGCAACGAUGGGUAGCCGGCCUGAGAGGGUGAACGGCCACAUUGGAACUGAGAAACGGUCCAAACUCCUACGGGAGGCAGCAGUGGGGAAUAUUGCACAAUGGGGGAAACCCUGAUGCAGCGACGCCGCGUGAGCGAAGAAGGCCUUCGGGUCGUAAAGCUCUUUUAUAUGGGAAGAUAAUGACGGUACCAUAAGAAAAAG